rnacentral:lncRNA from 1 species
AUAGACAAUUAAUUGAAUGUAAAACAUUUCUUUCAACUAAUUUCACACAUAGAAAUAGAAAUCAGAUGAGUACUAAGUCUUCUUUCAUAAAAUAUAUCUACAUACAUCAAUGGCCUUCAAACACAAUAAACAUCACAAUUUCUUCAAACACAAUAAACAUCACAAUUAUAUUGAUCAAUUAUAAACUGCGACCUAUGAUUACCUAGCUUUGGCCAGUGUGAACUUGACUGCUUACUGAGUUACUAUGGGCAAUUUAACUAUAUCCUAUUACUAUUCGUGUGGAAUGAAGAGCAUUUAAAAUGGC